GUGCCAGCAGCCGCGGUAAUACGUAGGGGGCGAGCGUUGUCCGAAUUCACUGGGCGUAAAGCGCGCGUAGGCGGACAUUUAAGUUGUGGGUGAAAUCCCGAGGCUCAACCUCGGAACUGCCUGCAAAACUGGGUGUCUUGAGGUAUGAAGAGGGAAGUGGAAUUCCAGGUGUAGCGGUGAAAUGCGUAGAUAUCUGGAGGAACACCCGUGGCGAAGGCGGCUUCCUGGUCAUAUCCUGACGCUGAGGUGCGAAAGCCAGGGGAGCGAACGGGAUUAGAUACCCCAGUAGUCC
rnacentral:rRNA from 1 species